rnacentral:rRNA from 1 species
GCUAAUACCGGAUAACAACAGAUGAUGCCUAUCAACUGUUUAAAAGAAUGGUUCUGCUAUCACUCUUGGAUGGACCUGCGGUGCAUUAGCUAGUUGGUAGGGUAACGGCCUACCAAGGCGAUGAUGCAUAGCCGAGUUGAGAGGCUGAUCGGCCACAUUGGGACUGAGACACGGCCCAAACUCCUACGGGAGGCAGCAGGA